AACUUAGCAAACUGAAACAUCUGAAUAGCUAAAGGAAGGAAAAUCAACCGAGACCCCGUUAGUAGCGGCGAGCGAGAGCGGG
rnacentral:ncRNA from 1 species